UGAAGUGUUGACGUCGCCUUUAAAGAAUCGUCCUCGCCUUAAGCCUGUGACAGAUGUAUCUAAUUUGAACGUCGAUGGUAUUAGAAACACAAUUUAUGAAAUGUACGAAAACAAAGUGCAUGUUACAUUGGCAUCUGUGCAUGAACAGCUUCGUGAAAAAGUCAUUUUUCAUGGUUCAUUGGCAUCAUUGCGAACAGUGCUAAAAGAAAUUGGAUUUAAAUGGA